AGCUGCUGUCGAAGUUCCRUCUACAAUAGGAUAAGACUUUGGUCUUAGUAUAAGUCUAGCCGAGUUUUUGAUUGGAAAGGAGCAAUAACCAACACUCUUGAUAGAAAAAGAAAUUGGUUAUUGUUCCUUUAUUUAGUGCUCUUUUCUUUACAUAAGUUUUUCUUUACUUCAACAUAAGAAAAAGUAUUCUAGUCUUAGGGAUUGCUUUAUGAUUGCUUAUCAUACUUUUUUCCUUAGAUAUGAAUUUAUAUACAUUCUUUUCAACCCUUUGUAAGGCUUUGUGAGAUUAUUAUCUUCUAGUUUUUUUUUUCAAAUAAAA
rnacentral:misc_RNA from 1 species